UAUUUGACGUUAGCUGCAGAAGAAGCACCGGCUAACUCCGUGCCAGCAGCCGCGGUAAUACGGGAGGGUGCGAGUACGUUAAGUACGGUAAUUACGUGGGACGUAAAGCGCAUGCGAGGUUGGUUUAGUUAAGUCAGAUGUAGAAACGGCCCGGGGCUACAACCGUACGGUAAUUGCUAUUUAGAAACGUGGACAAACUAGAGUACUGUAGAGGGGGUAGAAUUUCAGGUGUAGCGGUGAAAUGCGUAGAGAUCUGAAGGAAUACCGGUGGCGAAGGCGGCCCCCUGGACAGAUACUGACACUCAGAUGCGAAAGCGUGGGGAGCAAACAGGAUUAGAUACCCUGGUAG
rnacentral:rRNA from 1 species